CCAACGGGCGGAAGGACCGCGAGCCUCUGCGGCUGGCGCCCUCUGGGGAGUCGCUGCGCCGGACUGGGCUGUGGUGGGAGCUCCCUGCGGGCCUCCGUCGUGUCUUUGCAUACGCAGGAAUCUCCCGGAACCCUUGAGGGCUGUCAUGCCCACCUGCUGCCGCUCGUUCCUGGCUGCUGGCAAAGACCGCUGUAGCCCACUUGGGUAUGUGAUAUACUUGACCUGGGAAGGACAGAAGGUUUGACUGUGCAGAUCCCUCAUCCAGACUAGAGCAUCUGCACCAGGUGUGAUGACAGCAUCCUCUGCAAGUUGUAAAAGUUGCACAGUGAUGGUCCCGAGGGAGGAGGCUCCUGGCUCUGGUUCAGGGCUGAAGUGUCUUCAUUUGCUUGACCUUUGUCUUAUGGUUACAAAUGGCGACUAGAACUUCAGGCAAGAGCUACACAUUCUCGGCCUCAAGAAGGAGAUGGCAGGAAAAGGACAAAAAGGGUUUUGUCAUUGGUUUUAGCCAAUGACUUCUUUUUAUAUCCUAUCCAAAAAGCUACUAGAAACAAACAAGAUUGCCUACAGUAUAAGAUAGGAUGCAUCUGGGUCCAAACAACAGAAGACUCAGUUGAAAGAAAAUUUUAAAAAAUGAGGAAAAUUCGGGGCUGGCCCUGUGGCCGAGUGGUUAAGUUCGCGCGCUCCGCUGCAGGCGGCCCAGUGUUUCGUUAGUUGGAAUCCU